AUUAUUUCUGGUGCAUACUGAACAUAUGUUAAUAAUAUCACCAUAAUUUUAUUUUUGAGAUAAAUGCUUCACGUUUAUAUAAGCUCAAGACGCAAGAAGGCUCUGAAGUCGAGACGCACGCCUUAACAGAGCCUAUUUUUGUAAGCAGUGAAGACAGACUGUUGAAUUAAAGUUGGGCAUUUUAAAUCGUUUCUGCUCUUUUCACUUCACGCUUUUCCUUCCCCGUGGUCAUGGCGACCAUGGAUUGAAACUUUAGCCCGAUUCAUGGUAAAAGACAGACCCGUGUGUUUAAGUACGUAAACCAGCAUUUGAUAGAUGUGGACAGUAACGAGGAACACCUGACAACAUGUGGUUGAGCUUUCCAGGUGUUUUCCGAGAGAGCGGAACCUUUGUGACUUCUCAGAGUGCAAUAUCCCCAACACUCAUCGCAGCAGGGAAAGUGGAGAGAGGAGACAGGCUAGCCCGCAGAGCUUGCAAUGAACCUGUACUUGUUCCAUUGCAGACUAAAACCUUGCCUGGCUUCACAAGAAGUGUCCAUUGAAAUAUUUAUGCCGACUAGGUCUGUGAUUUUCACAGUACAGCUGUAUAAUAAAAACAUAGAAAGAUGGGGGACUGUCCGUGGGGUUAAGAGGUAACCGACCUGGGUCCAAUUGAUCCAGACCUCUGCUUCCCGACUGCAGCAAAAGGAAGGAGAGGACAUCUGUGGGGGCUUCCUGCUGGAUAAUGUGGGAUGCUUCCUGUCCUAUCACAGGAACAGGAAGUUAAUAAUUGAGUGGGGGAAAAAAAACUCAAAAUGAAUUUUUCAUCCACUCCUUUAUUUCCCUCCCGUUUUCUCUCCCUCCCCCCUAAAACAUUCUUGGUUUUGAAAUCCAAAUAAAAAUAGACAGCUUUUUGCAUUUGUUUUUUUUUUUCAUUUCCGAGGGCACACAUUUGAAUUUAGGUCAAGGCUUGGAGAAGCCAGAAAGAAAAGGGAAAGAGGCUUCUGCAGUGGAG